ACCAAAUCCGAACCUAGACCGGGGGAAAACCUAGCAAAUCGACUAAAUCGACUUGUUGCCAUAUUUUGUAAUCCGAGUGCCGCCUACCUAGCUCAAGGAUCAUUAGAAGUCAGAGAUAUCGAUCACACUAUCAAUCGAAGCAUUCGGUAUAGUUUGAUUUAUAUUUUUGAAUAUGGCAUGUAUAGGGAACUAGACUUGUGUUUUGUGUCAUUAUCAAUUUGGCCAAAUGUGUUGGCUUGGGAUAAA